AGUAGCGAAGGAACCUUCUGUAACAUUAGGAUCAUAAUCAUCAAAAGCAUUUGUUCCAUAAGCUUCAUCGAGAGCUCCCAGAAUCCCAGAUUACGUUCUCUACGACUAAUACUUGGUUCUCGCAGACGCUAAUAAAUAUAUGGCAUAUUUACGAGGAAUCAGCUGAUAGACCUACUUCCGCCAUCUGUACUCUGUAUUGCAAAUUACGUUUAGAAACAAACAGUGCAAUAUUGACAAGGACUCAAUGCUUGAUAAAACUGAUUACACACAAGAUAGAAGUAUUUUGAACUCAAACAUGUGCCAAAUGCGUCUAAAAUGUCAGGUCAUGUGAUAAGUGAUAUCUUAUACUUUAAUGCAAGCCUUGAUCUCAAUUGGACAGCAUUAUUGCACUUUAUGAAAACUUGAAGUUUGAUACUGUGUUCAAUAUGCUGAACGCAGCGUUAUUGUGAUUAAUAUGCAACUGACAAUACUUUUUCAAAAUAUGUAUUUCACUUCAAUUUAUUCAACUGAUGAAGA